UGGGAACCCAAACCCUGCCCACUCCUUCCUGCCGGGUGCUGGCGGGUGGCUGGGCUGCAGGGCUGCUCCCUGUCGACACCCGUGCCUCUCCUGGCCAGUGGGAUUCCAUCCCCAGGCCCCCAUUUUAGAAGGAGCCGGCUGCUGGUGAGGGUGACAGCCUGGUGACCGGAUGGGAGCUGGUGGCUUCUAAGGAAGCCUCCCCUCUGGAGGGAGGGACAAAAAUCUCAGGACUCGAGUCCCUGGGGGCAGAUGAGGGAGGGAGCAGGGUGGACGUGCAGACUUGCAGCCGGCCUCGGGUGGGAGCUACAGCCAGGGAAGCGGCUGCCAUCGGAGCACCCCCAAGGUGCAGCUUUCGGGACUUUUUAAAAUCAGGAAACUGAGGCCCACGACCAAGCCCCCAGAUGCCAGUGAUGACCAAGUCCCCUAAUCAAUGCUGCCUGCCAUCUCAAUGCCCCAGCGUUUAGGGCCAGAUCCUUCCCUGCUGGAAAACACAGGUUGUGGGGCCUGGCAGAACUGUUCUCUCCGAGCCAAGGAAGAUGUGGGCACCAGACGCUGGCCGGCAGGUGGCCUUCGCCCUUCCGGGAAGUACAAGAUGCAGGCACACAAAUGAGCAGCUCGCUGGAGUGGGGUGGAAACGAGGCCGGACCCCAACUGUGUCCUCUUCCACUCCUUAUGACACCGCGGGCCAACGUGGUGUGUUAUGGAGGGGGUCUGUCUUAUCCAUAGUCCAACCCAUCCUCCCCAACCUGGC
rnacentral:lncRNA from 1 species